CAAGGAUACUGGACUGUUCAAAUUACAGUCCAGUAUCCUUGGGGACGGAACUGAAAUGAACUCUUGUGAAUGAACUCCUGCUCAUAUCCGCUGUAUAAAUCAGCUGUAACAACUGCCGCUUGUGUUGUUUGGCUGCAGUAUCUGUUACUCUGUACUAGAGCCUUUUUAGAGCCAGAAGGCUAAAAAAAUUCAUUCACUAAACUGAUCCGGGUGAAUGAGUCACUUGUGUCACUAUUGCCAAAUCGACAGCUGUGAGUCAACUGAAAUGUUUGAAAGUAAAAUGCCUUGUGAUGAGAAUGAAUCACUUUCUAAAUAAACCUGCUGGUUUGAGCGACUCAGAUUUGCGUUUUCGGAGGAAGUUAACUGCUGGAUGAACUGAGUCAGGUUAGGAGCGCUAACCCGGAUCUCUGAGUGAUUCAGAUUCAGAUGGUGCAAAGAAACUUGCUGAGUUUUGUCCUCUACUCUGGACUUUCACAAGGAGAUUUCAGAGCUGUUGUGAGACUGAAGCCUGACAGAACACAGAUAUUCCAUGGAGAACAUUUCACUCUGAUAUGUGACAUAGAGAAAGAGGGUGGACAGACUGACUGGGAAUACAAGUGGUAUCACAAUGGCAACCACAUUGGCUCUUGGACGUUUGAUAGAGAACAUUCAAUCAAUUUUGUAUCAGAAUCAGACAAGGGAAACUACACCUGUAAAGGUCACAGGAUCAGUGAUGGAAAUGAGACUGAGAGCAAACCUGUCACUCUAACUCUAUCAGGUACGAUUUAACAUUUUACAAUUGUCAUUAUUUUGGAUUUCGAUGUAAAGACACUGUAUGAUAAUACCCUUCAGGGCGUUUCAUGUAUCCGUCU
rnacentral:lncRNA from 1 species